rnacentral:rRNA from 1 species
UACAGAGGGGGCAAGCGUUGUCCGGAAUUAUUGGGCGUAAAGCGCGUGUAGGCGGCCAGAUAAGUCCGCUGUGAAAAUCUCGAGGCUCAACUUCGAGCUGUCGGUGGAAACUGUCUGGCUAGAGUCCGGAAGAGGAGAAUGGAAUUCCUGGUGUAGCGGUGAAAUGCGCAGAUAUCAGGAAGAACACCCGUGGCGAAGGCGGUUCUCUGGGACGGUACUGACGCUGAGACGCGAAAGCGUGGGGAGCGAACAGG